UUUAAUAUGGCAGAUAAGUGCGAAGGAGUUAAAAUCCUUAAAUAAAGUGACUUUUUAUUAAAA
rnacentral:tRNA from 1 species